UUCCUACCUGAUUGCCCCCAGCCGCUCGCCUGCCUAUCUGAUCACCCCUAACUGCUUGCUGGGGGGCAGGGCCAGUCUGGUGAGGGGCUGUGGUGAUUCUGGUCUCUAGUCAUUCUGGUCAUUAUGCCCUUUCAGUCGCUGGGCA